CCUACGGGAGGCAGCAGUGGGGAAUCUUGCGCAAUGGGCGAAGGCCUGACGCAGCCAUGCCGCGUGGAUGAUGAAGGUCUUAGGAUUGUAAAAUCCUUUCACCGGUGAAGAUAAUGACUGUAGCCGGAGAAGAAGCCCCGGCUAACUUCGUGCCAGCAGCCGCGGUAAUACGAAGGGGGGCUAGCGUUGCUCGGAAUUACUGGGCGUAAAGGGAGCGUAGGCGGACAUUUAAGUCAGAGGUGAAAUCCCGGAGCUUAACUUCGGAACUGCCUUUGAUACUGGGUGUCUUGAGUGUGAGAGAGGUAUGUGGAACUCCGAGUGUAGAGGUGAAAUUCGUAGAUAUUCGGAAGAACACCAGUGGCGAAGGCGACAUACUGGCUCAUUACUGACGCUGAGGCUCGAAAGCGUGGGGAGCAAACAGGAUUAGAUACCCUGGUAGUCCACGCCGUAAACGAUGAUUGCUAGUUGUCGGGAAGCUUGCUUCUCGGUGACGCAGCUAACGCAUUAAGCAAUCCGCCNGGGGAGUACGGUCGCAGAUUAAAACUCAAAGGAAUUAGACGG
rnacentral:rRNA from 1 species